AUUGAACGCUGGCGGUAGGCCUAACACAUGCAAGUCGAACGCGAAAGUCCUUCGGAUGAGUAGAGUGGCGGACGGGUGAGUAACGCGUAGGAAUCUAUCCUGUAGUGGGGGAGUAACGUUUCGAAAGGAACGCUAAUACCGCAUACGCCCCAAGGGGGAAAGGCGGGGAGUCUUCGGACCUCGUGCUAUAGGAGGAGCCUGCGUCGGAUUAGCUAGUUGGUGAGGUAAAGGCUCACCAAGGCGACGAUCCGUAGCUGGUCUGAGAGGAUGAUCAGCCACACCGGAACUGAGACACGGUCCAGACUCCUACGGGAGGCAGCAGUGGGGAAUCUUGGACAAUGGGGGAAACCCGUAGAUCCAGCCAUGCCGCGUGAGUGAUGAAGGCCUACGGGUC
rnacentral:rRNA from 1 species